rnacentral:rRNA from 1 species
AGCGAACGCUGGCGGCAGGCCUAACACAUGCAAGUCGAACGAACCUUUCGGGGUUAGUGGCGGACGGGUGAGUAACACGUGGGAACGUGCCUUUAGGUUCGGAAUGACUCAGGGAAACUUGUGCUAAUACCGAAUGUGCCCUUCGGGGGAAAGAUUAAUCGCCUUUAGAGCGGCCCGCGUCUGAUUAGCUAGUUGGUUGAGGUAAUGGCUCACCAAGGCGACGAUCAGUAGCUGGUCUGAGAGGAUGAUCAGCCACAUUGGGACUGAGACACGGCCCAAACUCCUACGGGAGGCAGCGGUGGGGAAUCUUGCGCAAUGGGCGAAAGCCUGACGCAGCCAUGCCGCGUGAAUGAUGAAGGUCUUAGGAUUGUAAAAUUCUUUCACCGGGGACGAUAAUGACGGUACCCGGAGAAGAAGCCCCGGCUAACUUCGUG